rnacentral:lncRNA from 1 species
GCCUGAUGUGGGGCUCGAUCCCAGGACUCCUGGAUCAUGCCCUGAGCCGAAGGCAGACGCUUAACAACUGAGCCAUCCAGGCGCCCCAGUAAAUGCUACUUUAUAAACAUAACCUACAAAGUGAUGUGAACUCAGACAUCGAUCUCAGGCUCUUCCCACAAUGAAACAGAAUGGUGCAUUUUAUAACCAGAGCCAACUCAGACCCCUUUGUUCCCUGCUGAAGCCAGCUCUCUUCCCUCUCAGGCAGAGGACCUGGCAUUCUCUCUGCUGUGCUCCUGCAGAGCCCCAACAGAAAAGCAGAACCCAAGGAAAGGCUGCCUUCAAAUGGGG